CUUUUUAUUCGGAAACCGCCCCCACUACCUCCUAUCUAUUCGCGCGGAAAAAGCCCUCUCAUUCGUACUACUCGCUCUCCGUCUCCCUCUCAUUCGGACAUCAAUAACCGGAACCCCCAAGAGAACUCCCCCUUCUUAUUCCUUGCUCUCUUGCGUGAGAAGCUCCAGACGGGAUCCCCAUCCUCUUUCAUCUCAAAUGCUUUCGUGGACGGCUGACCUAGCCGGCGCCUACCCAACGCCGCCUGCCCUACUCCGUCCGCCCAUCUCUUGCCUCCUCUGCCCUAGCCGACGCCGACAACCUUCUCAACCUUGGGCCUGAUUAAAACCUCAGUCAUGAGUGAAUGACUUUUGGUUGCUUUCUAGUAAGUGAUUUUCUAUUUUUUGUAUUUGUCUUUUCAUCAAGAUCAACUAGGUAAGUGGAUACCUUUGAUAAUAAUGCAUCUAUAAUGAUGAAUAUUUUUUGAGUAGCCUGCAAAUUUAUAACUUUAGUCCAUCUUUGUUAAUUUGAUAUUUAAUUCACAUAUAUCGUUACAACCUUUUGAGAAAUU